GCCCUCAUAGCACAAAUGGAUAGUGUAACUGACUUCUAAUCAGUAGGCUCCAGGUUCGAAUCCUGGUGAGGGUA
rnacentral:tRNA from 1 species